GAUGAACGCUGGCGGCGUGCCUAAUACAUGCAAGUCGAGCGAACAGACGAGGACCUUGCUCCACUAACGUUAGCGGCGGACGUGUGAGUAAAACGAGGAUAACCCACCUAUAAGACUGGGAUAACUUAGGGAAACCGGAGCUAAUACCGUAUAAUAUAUGCAACCGCAUGGUUCAAUAGCUAAAGAGGGUUUGGCUGUACCUUAUAGAUGUCACCGCGCUGCAUUAGCGAGUUGGUAAGGUAACGGCUUACCAAGGCAACGAUGCGUAGCCGACCUGAGGAGGUGUAGCGCCACACUGAAAGUGAGACGCGGUCCAGAGUCCUACGGGCGGCACCGAUAGGGACUCGACCGAAAUGGGCGGAAUCCUGACGGAGCAACGCAGCGUGGAUGAUGAAGGUCUUCGGAUCGGAAAACGGUGUUAUUGGUGAAGAACGAAUUUGUAAGUAACUAUGCACGUCUUGACGGUACCUAAACAGAAAGCACCGGCUAACUACGUG
rnacentral:rRNA from 1 species